ensembl:lncRNA
UCGGGUGCACUGGUGUUAAUUGUGGGCUUGUAGGUGGUAGCAUGGACGACCUGGUUUUGGGGUGUUGCUGAUCUACUGGUGUUCACACAUAUCGAGAUUGGAGCGGCUCCGGCCUUCCUUUCUCACGUUGGGGCAGUCGCAGGCCUAUAAACAGGCCUCCGUCGCUCCGGAGGUCUUUACUGUCUAAUUUAGACAGGAGGUGACGGGCAAUUAUGCCUCCCCCUCCUGCCGCAGGAGACGUGGCCCCUCGGGGUCCCGUCACCUUGAAACCUUAGUGCGAAAGGGUCUUACCCGAAUAACACGAAAGGAAAGUUGUCUCGGUCUGGGUGGUGGAUAAAGGAUUAGCAGUUGACUGGACAUGGGCGGCCUUAGGGUUACGCUCCCCUGUCUUUGUCAGAAAAAUGCAAUAAAUCCUCCAUGCACUUAGUAGCUGUUUGGCGAUGGAUAUUAAAGGUCCCAUAUACUGCAGGAUUUAGUUGGGAGUUAAGAUGUAAUUAAAACAGAGCUUGAGGGGUAGGUCUUUCUACCUACCUCCAGUCUUUUAUGUGAAAGUCUAACAGUAAGUACGAGGGGUAGGGUACCCACCCACCCUCUAGUCCAUAGUCGGUAAGCCGAGGUGUAAGUUUAAAGGCGAUGCGGAGGACUCUGGUCCUCUGGGGGCAAUGAAGGUUCGGAUUUUAAGUCGGGACGGCUUCACGCGGGGACAGUGUUAACCCGACGUGCGGGUUCACUGUCUCUAACUGCAGGAGAACGAGGGACGGUUUCACCUGUUGGGCCGUUGCCUCGAGGGAAUCGACCAGGUCGACACAUCACAUGAUGUAACUGAGCGUCCUCGUGGGCCUCAAGGUUACUACUAACUGCUAAGUCUGUGAGCGGUUCCUAUCGAUGUGGGUGUGCGCCGUUUUUCAAUUUUGACUCGGCUUAAAGGUGGGUCACGGAUUGCUAGGUUGGUGCAUGACUAGCUGACCCAUCUCGCUUGUUGGAUGGUCUCCAGGUGAAUUGCAGUUGAACUAUGGAAGAGCGGAUCAUAGCCGGUUAACUUCGAAUACUGUCUCGGCUGAUCUGCCUUGGGGACCGUGAAGUACUGUGUAGGGGCUACGAAGGGGGCACCACUCGCCGGAAGGUUGGAUUGAGUCCAGCAUUGCUCAUGUCCCUCCCG